UAAAGGGGCUAGGGGUCAGGGGCUGGUGGCUCCCCACCGCUCGGGGGGCAGGUUCGGGAGCUGAAUGUGCAGCCCGCAGCUCGGUGGACCCAGGAAGGAAUACGAGAUGAUCAGUGCUCCCCUCCACUGCCAGCCCUGCAGCAAGGAGCAAAACCUCAGCGCGCCGUCCAAAACCCAGGGGAGACAAACCUCACCGCUGUCUGUCACAGGCGCUGUUACAAUGAAUGAGAAUAUCCAGGAAUUAAGGGAGGCACUGGAAAGACAAACAAAAGAGGCUCUGAAACUCCAUGAAGAAAUCGCCAAAUUCCCAGUGGAAUCAGUGAUACCUUCUUUAAGUUGUGAGGAAUCUUUACCGAGUGGCAAUGUGCCUAAUGUGGGUGCUGCUAGCUCAUUUCUCGGAAACCAGAAUGUUUUAGCUUCUUGCAUUCUUAGCACAGUGAUGGAAAACUCAGCCUCUUCUAGUAUUGGUAGCAGUUCACCCAGUAGUGUCUUCUGUUCCAAAUAUGAAAUGCAUACUGAUUCUGAGAAAAAAACCAAGAUGGAAAACGUUCUGGAAGAAUACUCACAGAAAGGUAGAGAUGUGCCGAAGAGGCUGAAUGAAGCCACUGAGCUUCAUGAGCAACAGAAAAUCAGUUUAAGACUGAUAAUUGCUGAUUUGCAGACCAAACUGAUGGAAGUGCAGCUGGAAAGAGAUGCGCUUCAGGAUGCUAGACAAAAGGAAUCCCAGAGCCAAGAGAAUGUAAAAAUAGAGUUAAAAAGUACUAUUGAAGAGCUGGAAGCUGCCAACCAGCUGCAGGAGGAGAUGCUGAGGGAGGCUGACAGCCAAACUGAGCAUCUGAAAAAGAUGGUCCACAGCCAUGAGGAAGUACUUUUGGAACUACGUGACAACCUAACAGACUACGAAGGCAGCACAGGCAUGAAACAUUAUGAGCAUGAGAACGUUACCAGCCUACACAUCCACAACCUGAGCACAGCAUUUGCUGACAUCCUGCGAGAUUUAGACUCAGAGGUGUCCUAUCUCAAAGAAAAGGUUGUCCUGGUGGAAGAAGAACUUGAGUCAUUGAAAAAAGAUUCACAGACCCAAAAACAACUUUUGCUUCAGCAACAUCAAAAUAGGGAACAAACAAGAAAACAAAAUUCAGUGCAUGCACAUCAAGUGAGUCACCUGGAAUCUACAGUUUCUCAGCUGCAUUCUGAAUUACAAGAAGCUAAGAGGAUAUAUGAAGACAAGAUUGAAGAUCUUGCGAAGCGGUUGCAUCUAGCUCGUUCUGAGAUAGCAGAAGCUCAGACAGAACGAGAUCGAUGCAGCCAAGAAACUGGAAAUCUGAAUGACAGGCUUCAUCAGUUGUUGACUGAACUUCAUAAAAAAGAGAUAGAACUAAGUCUAGAAAAAGAGCAGAACAAGCGAUUUUGGGAUCGGAACACAGAGAACAGCGUCGCGAUUGACCGCCUGAGAAGACGACUAGACAGCAAAACCAUGCAAUUGCAGCGCAUGGAAAACACUGUGAAGGAAAUGAGGACUGAGUGUCAUAGACAAAUGGAGUGCCAGAUGGCUGCAAUUAAGGAAAAAAAUGAAAGCAUUGGAAGGAUCUCCUCUUUGACUACCCAGCUGGAGUCAACCAAGGAAACACUCUGUAAAGUUAAAGAAGACCUGACAGCCAAACAGACCGAUUUGGAGACAGCUGAGAAGACAGUGUCAAAUCUGACAGCCUGCCUGCAGGAAAAAGAGAGUGCCCUUGAGGUUACCAGUAAGGAAAUCAAGAAGCUACAUUCACAACUUGGUAGCAGGAUGCAGGAGCUCCAGCUGCUGAAGAAUGAAGAGGACCAUUUUCACAACGUGCAGUCGGAGUGUGAAGUACUGAAACUGCAGGUGUUAGAGAAGGAAAGGAUUAUUGAGGUCUUCCAAAAGCAAAUUGAUAAUGUGACCCAGAUUGUGGGCCAGCACAGUCAAACUGCUGGAGCAAUGGAAGUUGAGAAAUCUCAGCUUAUAGAAGAAAUAAAUGACUGGAAACUCAAAGCAGAAAAACUUAAGAUUGCAGAGGAUGAGAAAGAAGCCAGAAUACAUGAAAUGGAGGCCAGACUGAGCGAGCUGGAACUGGAAAAAGUUAAAUUAGUUAACACAUGCACCGAGAGGCUCCAUGAACUUAAUGAUAUGAAACUGGAAAAAGACCAGCUAAUAAAUGAACUCCACACCUGUCAGAGUGAGCUAGCUGGCCUUGCAGAGGGGUUUGAAGAUUUGAAGGAGUAUUACCAGGAUAAAAUGGAGGCGAUGGAAAGUACUGCAAACAGACUGAAAAUGCAGUUGAAAUCUGCCCAAGCUGAACUGGAACAGACCAGAACUGCUCUAAGGACUAUGGAGGAAUCUCAUGGCAAUGCUAUGAAAGCUGCAGUGGGAAUGCAGAAGCAGAUCACAGCCAAGAGAGGACAGAUAGAUGCAUUACAGAGCAAGAUUAAAUUCUUGGAAGAGGCAAUGACAAAUUCAGCUAAGGAGAAGCAUUACCUCAGACAAAAAAAUAGUAAACUAAGUCAAGAAUUGAGCUAUAUUACAGCAGAAAAUACCAAGAUUGCCGGGGAACUGGAGAUCCUGAGAUCACAAGACAAACGUCUGAAUGAAAAAAUAUCUAAGAUGGAGACAGCCCUUGAUAAGGUAUCCAUGCAAUUUGCAGAAUGUCAGUGCAUAAUCCAGUGUCAGGAACAAGAAGCUAUACGCUUCAGACUGCAGCAUACUUCAGAUGUAAAAGAGUUGCAGGGCCCAGGCUACUCAUCAGCUUUUGCUUCAGGCAGGCUGCGGCACAUAGUGCCUCUUUCUCAGCUGCACUCUGCUGUUGUGCCACCUUCCCUGAACUUGGCCAGCUGUGCCUCUCAUGUGCCUUCCAAGCCAGGCAUUUUGAAGGAAGAACCAUUGCAGGGUCUAAAGAGGAUUCUUCAAGAAUUAGCAGGCUCAGACAAUGACAUUCCCUCUGUGGAUCUUGGUGGGGAUGACAGCAAGGGUGAGAGAAAAUCACCUUUAGCAACCAUGAGGAAUACAGUAGGUGGUGCAAGUAGAGGGUGCGCUGCUCUCUUCAGUCUACGAUCGGAUCCUUGCAAGAGGGUUCCUUCAUGCUUACAUACUGCAGAUCUUCACUCCCAAGACGUUACCCAGCCCUUUACAGCCCUUGGAGGUGCAUCCAUCUCCUCAGCAGCUCCAUGUUAUACAUCCUCUCCCAAGAAGGUCUCUCAGGAGGAGAGAUGCCGAGAAAAGUCUCCAGUACACUUACUAUUAACUACUCCACCUGAUGACCUUGCAGCUGGCCCCAGCACCUCACCACAGCACGGACCAUCCCCAUCUGCAAGGAAGGUUGGCUCUCCAGAGGGUGCAGCCACAGUCCCCCAGAUACACUUCUCCUCGGUCACUUUAUCUUUUGCAUUUUGGAAGCAUCAGGACCUUCUCUUUAUGCAGAGUGGUAUCUAAAACUGCUGGGCUGAGCAGUCACUCUGACUGGACCAUUAAUGUUGUUGCUCAUUGACCUUUGCUUCCCCUAGCUGUCUGGAUAUGCAAGGAGGAAGUGCGUAUUUUUUAGUUCAUCUGUAUUUUCAGUGCAUGUUUAACAACUGAGAAAUACCUGUUCAUGAGCAAAGUGCAAAUAUGCGUGGCUUUUCCCUGUCAAAGCGCUGAAUUUGCUAUGUGAGUACAUGCAUGUUUCUGUACCUGUAGAGCAACCUGUUUCAGGAAACACGCAGGCGUUGUGGUGUGGAUAUCUCUGCAAUUGGAUGUAAACCACAAAUGGUUUUGCCUGUAGACCACAGGAGAUCUAGCAGGUCACAAACGUAACAUUCAGUCAAUCACCAGUCAUUGUUCAGUUCAAAGAGGAAGAUAAGUGGCAUCACUUUUUUUUGGUUGUGUUUUGGGGCUUUUGUUUUGUUUGUUAAUCUGAUCAGCCAGUUACGUCCAUCUCAGGCUGCUUUUACUAUUAUUUUUUUUUUGCCUCUUUUUAUUUGAGAAUUGAUGACUACCACAAAGAUGAAAUGAUCCAAGUUCUGGUCAGAAGAGGCUCCAGGCCUCUCAGCCCCUGGAAACUAGUGAGAAUACACCUAGGAGGCUAAGAACAAGAUGAAAGGCCUGCAAAACCUGGUGCAAUCAUUGCAGAUAAAAAACCAAGGUUCCAUAAUUUACCAAAAAUAUUCCUAUUUUUAUUUAAAAUACUAAUGCUUUCCAGAAACUCUUCUUGUUACCUGCCAAAGCACUACCCGUGCUUUUGUGUGAGUUCAGUUGAGAUGUGCCUGUUUUACUAGCAGUACCCACUUCUACAUUAUCCUGCUCCUAGGAGAGUAGAUUAAUUCCGCAAUGCACUGUUGCUCAGACCCUUAAUUCCAAUAAGCUUCAAGAUCUUUGACAUUUCAAACAUGGCAGCUGGUCAGGGAUGCCCUUGUGUGCUGUCAUGUCCAAUUAAAUGAGAUUUUUAUCAAGCUGAUGACUCUCGUGGAAACUGAAAGAUACUUCAACAGCAGUAGACUCCAAAAGCAGUGGCCUCAGAAGCAUAACCUUUCCUCCCCAACAUUUUUUAAAAUCUGAGAUGACCACAGUGACGACGGAGAGUUUUUUCAGGUUAUCUUCUGGCUCCCUUUGAAGUCACUGAGAAAAUGCUCAUGAGCUCCUGUGAUGGCAGGAUGCCAAGUGAGAGGGAAUUUCUUUUCUUUGCACUCUUUCUUAUUGCAUGUUGCUGUUGAUUCCCCUUUGCCCCUUUAAGUCUCACUGCAUAGAUUUGUUAUUAUAGUUUCCCCACAUCAUGCGGUGCACACGUGUCAGAGACAUACAAGUGACCCAAUUUAGGUAAAACUCAUCAAAUUGUUUAUAUAAGUUACAAAGUAAGUGUUCUUAUUUUUAUUCUUUGCCAUCCAUUAACAUCAUCAGUUUGCCUGGUUUUUAUAUCCACAUAAAAAAAUAUAUUCAUAUCUGUAAUGUGUCAAGAAUUACUAUAGAAAAGUGGGGGGGGGAAGCCUUUUGUGUACACACUAAUUAAACCCAUUUCCAUGAGCGCUGGGGCAAAGGGAUUGACUUCACUCCAUCCCGUAAGAGAGAUUCUGAAAUGAAUAGCAUUUCACCACGACGCCAGCAUUUGGUGCUUUGGCUUCACAAGGCAGAUGAGAUGGUGCCUGUUUAUAACUAGGUUUAUCUUUUCUGUUAAGGCCCUGCAUAUAAAGAAUUGCAAACUGAAGUUGCAUUUAUAAGGGCUUGCUAAGUACAGUGUAAUGUGUAGGAGGACAUUACAAAGCUUCAGGUGUCUGCAUCAGAGGCUUCAAUCAUUUUAACAUUAGGUGGUGUUUCAGAUAAUCCGUUCUUGCUGCUUUUUUCAGCCAUGUCGCCAAUGAUCAGAGCUCAGGAAAUGAAGAUAAAGAAAGCAAAUUAACAAGAGAAAAAGCUAUCAAAGUGAAGAUGCUGUAUACAUUACUGAUUACAUUCACGUAUGUACAUUGUGUUUAAACUAUGUUCUAUUUUUAAAGAUUAAGAAUAAAAUUUCUUACAAUUUUGUAA